ACACACAAAAUGUGUUUUACUCACCCCCAACGAUUCACAAACAAACUCAGUGUGGUUUGCAAAUACAAAACAUCACUCACAAACUAAUGCAUUUUGUUCUGCAAAUAAAAAACGUAGCUAUCAAACAAAUACAGUACGUUUUACAUAUACAAAGAAACGUAUUUCUUCAAUGACAAAAAUAUCCUCCAAGUACAAACUAAAAUCUUUCAAGUACAAAAAAAAUCCUUCAAUUAAAAAAAAAUCCUUCAAGUACAAAACAAAAUUCUACAAGUACGAAAAACUGUCACGUGACUUUUGGCACUAAUUUUUCGCCUUGCUGAUCCACACGCAAAUGCCUUCAGAUCCACACACAUGCUAGUAAACGGUCAUGUAAUUCCGACUUGCUUGGCGCCGCCACCGACAUGGAAACAGAAGAGAAGAAGAAACGCUAGCGUGAGGGACGUUUUGAACACGAUGAGCGGCCAACAGGAACUGCUUGCACAGACAAUGUUAGAGAGAAUCAACACACGGCUCCAGCAUGUUGUCUGUCAGCAACCCCUUGACCUGGAUUACCGUGAAUUUGUGUGUUUUCAGGAGGCUGUUCUUUUUAGUGCUGCCUCUAACCAGGUUCUCAUACCAAAAGGCAUUUUAGAUGCACUCACAGAGCUUCACAAGUUGGUUAAGAAAGAGAAAACCAGGUCCCCAUAGUAAAAAAAAAAAAGAGAAAGAUAUUGUUUUUUUUUUUGGU